UCCUCGUUAGUAUAGUGGUGAGUAUCCCCGCCUGUCACGCGGGGGACCGGGGUUCGAUUCCCCGACGGGGAG
rfam:Ciona savignyi cont_42923, whole genome shotgun sequence.